UCCCUGGUGGUCCAGUGGCUAAGACUCCAUGCUCCCAGUGCAGGGGGCCUGGGUUCAAUCCCUAGUCAGGGAA
rnacentral:tRNA from 1 species